ensembl:lncRNA
GAUUACCGUUCCCUUGCCAAAUGGAGAGAGGGUACUUGAGCAUCCGGGGCUUUCAGUGGGAUUAGACAUUAUUCAGUCUGGUGCUAAUAGUCCUUAUUUACUCCUCAGCCUCUCACAAAAGUCGCCGCGUUUGUUUCAGUAACUAAGGCCUACAGAAACCACUCAGCCCUAAGUGCACACAGGAGGACCAUGGAGUUGGAGGAAAAGGAAAGACCUGGAACCAACUCAAAUGCCCAUCGAUGGUAGACUGGACAGAGAAAAUGUGGGACAUAUACACCAUGGAAUACUAUGCAGCCAUAAAAAAUGAUGAGUUCAUGUCCUUUAUAUAGACAUGGAUGUACCUGGAAACCAUCAUUCUCAGCAAACUGACAUGAGAACAGAAAAUCAAACCCUGCAUGUUCUUACUCAUAGGUAGGUGUCGAACAAUGAGAACACAUGGAUACAGGGAGGGGAGCAUCACACACUGGGGUCUGUU